rnacentral:lncRNA from 1 species
GUGCUGUAUGUCCUGGUUCCCUUUAAUAGCAUUAGGCGUUCAGACCAUAAAGACUAAUCUGGAGAGUAGAAGUUCCUGCUCUCUGCUUUGAUCUCUUUCCUCUUGGCUGUUUAAAGCUGACAGUUUGGCUGAAUGGCAUUCGCCGCUUUCAUUUGUAAGACACGAGUUUCCUAGUGUUCCAGAGCUAGCAGCUACACCUGUACCGCAGGAAUUUACAUCGCAUUGCUCCAGGAUGGCAUUGAUUUGGGACGGGCGAAAUACAAACACAAACUAAUUAAAACCUGCAUAAUGCGGCCCUACAGGAACAAGACAGAAAAACAAAUAAAUACAACUGCAGCUGGCACAGCAAUUGUGCCUCUGCCCCCGAGCAACAGUCUGGUGACAUCAAAUUACAAACCUUAAAAAUCUCCCGUAAUUGCAGUUGAUCAUUUCGAAGACAAAAUGGAAAUCGUGUUGUUAAUUAAGUUCGGGUCCGUAAAAUAUUCAUAGAUAGGUGGGCAGACGGACGGACAGACAGACACCGAGAGGUGGAUGACUCAUCCUAUAGGUUUGUCGGCUUGUUUAUACAGGCCCGUGUGCAGAGCUCGAACAAUUCAUAUGCAAAAGCGCUAAGGAAGAGCUCCGCGUUCCCUUUGCUAUCAGAAAUAAAUACGAGUUGCAACCGAUAGAGGAUUAAUCAAAACACACUGCUGAGAUACUGGGGGGAGGAGGAGGGGAGGGAAAGAACAAAUUUUCUUAGUUUGCUAAAAUAUAUAGAUAGAAAGAGAAAUGCCCGUAAUAUUUGUAAUGCCCUCUUUGUCUGAAUAACACCGUCUUUGUAAACGCCUUAUCAGCUGUUACCCCGACUGCAGUCAAACGUUUCGGACUUCGAUCCCUCCCUGCACUACUCAUACCUACGUGCUUCCAUUUAGGGAAUCCACCAGGUAUGCAACUUUGUGCUUGUCUGAACAAACCAAACCAUUCGUUUGCACGGUCAGAGGGCUGGAGGCUGCUGAUGCUAUUCCCUCCUGCGCGUUCUUUCCACGGGAAAGAAAAUUGAAACUGUCCAAUAACUGAAGCGAUCGUCUGAAAUCUCUUCUUCUGCCACCGGUGCGAACUCAAAAUCAAGAGAGGAUUUGCAGGAGAACUCGUUGCCAGGAUGUUUCAAAGAAGAAUUAAAGGAAAACUUUUUUCUUCUCCAGUCCUAAACCAGGCGCUGUAGUGCUUAAGCUUCUCUUUCUUUUUGGGUCGAUUUAUUAAGAGCGCCGCGUUUUGCUCGCAGCUCCGUGAGCACGUGUAUCCCUAUGCAGACACAGCACAAAAUGCGUGGAAAUUACGCGGCUGAAGCGUAGCCUAAUAAAUAUCAGAGCUCCAUUCUCA